rnacentral:tRNA from 1 species
GUUAUUAUAGUGUAAUUAACACACUGCGUUUUCACUGCAGAGCUAAAGGUUAACUCCUUUUAAAAACA